CGCGCCCAGGAUCCGAACCCUGGGCCGCCACAGAGGAGCGCGCGAACUUAACCACUCAGCCACGGAGCUGGCCCCUUGCUGCGUUUUCUAUAGCAAGCUAUUGAAGUCAGGAACAAAGCCACAAAAGCACAGGGCACGAUAGGAUGUCACUGAUGGGGAUCAUUAUACAGAGACAGGAACUUUACAAUAUAGAAGAAUCUGUGCAAUACUUCAUCAUUAGAUAGGCAGUGCACCUGAAAAUAUUUCGUUCAAGCAGAGACUCCUUCAUUCUCUUUUGCAAAGUAUUUGAAGCAAUGAGAGAACAUAAAAUCAAGGUUCUAAAUGAUUUGAUCUUUUCAAGGAUGACAAAUGACUGUCAGGAGUCUAAGUUUUCCCUUCAGGGUAAGUGUCACGAUUUAAUAAUAAAUGAGAUGGUAACUGCCUUUCAAAAGAAACGUGUAAACCACAGAGAGAGACCUUCAUACAUGCACCAAAAUGGCCACAAUGAAAAAGACAGACAAUCCCAAGAGUGGAUGAGAAUGUGGAGCAGCCAGAACUCCCACAGUGGUGGGAGUGUAAAUUCGUGGAACCGGUUCAGGCAACUGUCUGGCAGUAUCUGCAAAAGCAGAACAGAAGGAAACCCAAGGACCCAGCAAUUCUACCUUAGGAGUGCACCCAAUGGAAAUAGAAAUGUGUUCACCAAAAGUCAGGCAGUGAAACGGGCAUAGCAGCGUUAUUCCUAACACACGAACCCUGGAAUUUACCCAAAUGCCCACUCAAAGCGAAAUGAAUAAACUUACUGGUGUGUAUUCCCACAAGACAGUACUACAUGCAGUGAGAACAAAUGAUCUGUGACAACCUCAGUGACAUGGAUGAAACUCACAAAUGACAUUUUGGGCAAAAGGAGCCAGACAUCAAAAAGGGUGCCUCCUGUAUGAUUCCACUUACAUGAGGUUAAAAAAAAAGGCAAAACUAAUCUGAAAACUACGAUAGUGGUUACCCUUGGGGGGAAAAUAACUGGAAAAGGUACAAAGGGGCUUUUGACAAUGGGUCUGCAAAUAAUAUUCUGUUUCUUGAGCUGUGUCUCUAAACCAGGUGUGCUCACUUUGUAAGAGGGCGUUGAUCUGCAUGCUUACGAGAUGUACAUUUUCCUGUAUGUAUGUUAUUCUUGAAUUAAAAAAAGAUACUUUUUCUGUGAAGACAGUGUUUGAGCACUGAUGAUUUAAAACAUUUCCAGUUAACAUUGUUAAAAAUACAUCUUUAUUCCUGGAAAGAUGGAAACAGAAUAUUCUAGCCUGUUUUAAAUUUCCAAAUGAAAUGUUAUUGGAUAUUUAACAAGGUUUUUUUUUUAAUUCUAAUAAACUGAGAAAAAUGGAUUGUCGUCAGGGAAGUUGGAAACGUACUAGCUAAAUUUUACCAAAAAUCUUUGCAUAAUUGGUAGGUGAAAUUGAAAAGUGAGUAUUAUGACUGAAUAAGGCAAGAAUGCUGCAUUCUUUUUCAUUUGAAUCUUCAUAUUUUUGUGAGGCAUCUUUUCCAGAAAUGACAGCCUUUAAAAGCAAGUAUCAGAAAAAACUGAAUUUAGGACCAAACCAUCGAUCACUACAUCAUAAAGAUUAAACCAAAGUUGAAAUAAAUUAGGAAAGCAUAUUCAAAAUCACAUUGCUCUCUCUAAAGUAAUUUUUAUUAUUAUCAAUCAUUUUUCAGGAAAGCAAAAAAAGUUCUUUGAUAUUGCCAAAUAAAAUAAAAACUAUUAAAAAUUUAGUUCAUUUUGAUUUUGACCUUUUAAAUUGCCAUUGUAUGUAUAGUUUAUAUCAAUAAUAUAUUAGAAUAAUAGUAUGUAUUUACAAAUUAAAAAUGUAUAUGUGUACGUCAGAGGUGCAUGCUCGAAAUUUUGUUAUUGAUAGGGUGUUAGAUCAAAAAAAGCUCAGAGACCGCUGGUUUACACCAGCAUUUAGCCUUUAGUACUACACAUUAUUUUAGAUGAUGUGGGUCAGGAGCCAAGAAGAUAAAAUUUUGAAUCCUAGCUCUGCCACUUAAUAAACGUAUGAUUUUGAGGAAUUAGUCCAUGUAUCUGGAUCUGGGUUUUUCUCAUUAGUAGAAUGGGAAUUUAGCAUCUGUCUGGCAAAGUUCGUUGAGAUAAUUAAAUGAGCCAAUAUAUGUAAAUUUCUUAGUACCUCGACUGGCUUAUGGAGGUUUAAUCAUAGUCAUUACGUACAACUGUCAUAUAACUGUUUCCUCGUUUUUUCAAACUUGCCUCAUAAUAAGGAUCUCCUGGGUGCUUGUUCAAAAUGUUCGAGUCUCACCUCAGAUUUUCUGUUAGAAACUUCACAGGUGGGGCCUUGAAAGUUGCACCUGUGGCAGGUGAUUCUUAGAACAAGUAAGUUUGAGAAAGGCUGAUUCACAAGGUGUUCAGGCUCUCUUUCCUUUCAUGAUCAUUCUCCAUGCACGAGUCUUAUCUUCUAAGAGCCAUGAACCCCCCAGGACCAUCUCUGACCUGCAAGGUUCUAGCAGGGAGUGCUGUGAGCCCCUGGGCGGUGAAGCCCAAGGUGAAGGCUCCACGUCUGGGAUGGUAAGCAGAAGGUGGGUCUUAGUUGGCAGAGCAUAGCAAUGGGGAGACUGGGAGAGCUCAGAGGCUGAGACCUCAGCAGGAGAGGGGCAGCGUGAAGAAGCAGGAGAAACCUCCCCCUCGGGCCUGGGGCUCAGAAGUAGGACUAGGUCUUUGGGGGGGCAGAGUGGGAGACGUUGGAGGCAAAGCACGGUGCCCAGGAACACAGGGCAGGCUCUGAGUCAUUAAGUCCUAAGUCUGAGGUGGGAGCUGACCACAGCUGAGACAGAAAAUCAGAUGGGUCCAGGAGUAGGACAAACUUGGUGCUUUGCCAUUUGAACUUCUUGACAAGGAUCCCUACAUUCCAUUCCCACUGACUUAGGAGAGAAUGGUCCCCAAGGUGGGGGCUUGUCCUAGGCAUGAGGACCAGCCAGGCUAGAAGGAGGCGCCUGCUUACACAUAUUCACCCAUUCUAGUGCUUACUAAAUGCAUGCACAAGCAGUGGGCCAUUGGGCAAUCACACCAAAUCUUGUCAUUUUGUCUUCUGUGCAUCUACUUAUUUCCCCCAUUCCUCACCUUGCUCUCCAGGGAAGACUGCCCUGAUGAGCAGCACUGAGCACGUGCUGUCCUCUCACACGGAUGCUUUGCUGUGUCCUGACAGCCCAGAGUUGCCCUCAGUCCGAAGGUGUGGAUAAUUAAGCUAAUGAAGACUUUUCCUCUAGCUGCUGAAAGCCUCAUUAAUCUACACACAUGUUGCCACAGGCAAAUUAUGGCGUCAAGGGGGGUGGAUCAACAAAAAUAACUUCAGAAAUUCAUUAAUCAGACUUAGUCAAGCAUGACGUUUGGAACUGAGAGUUCUUAUCCCGCAGUGGCCAGAGGGUUAGAUGGUUUUUUUUUCCCAAUGACAUCAAAGGGACUUCUUAAGCAUCGGAAUAUUUAGGUUAUUGUACUGGCAGUUAUGACUCCAGUGGAUGCUAAUGGAGUCUGUCCAAACUUCAGUGUGGAGGAUUCUAGAAAUGUUGAAUCGUUAAAGUGAUGAUCAAGGUUUCCAAGCCCAGAAGAGGGAAAAUUUGAUCAUGGGAUCACACACAGAAACAUACCCAGCUAUGGCAGAGAUGGUUCGUGCCACCAGAUAGUCAUUUUCUCCUUGACAUUUCAAAGGUGCCCUUGGAGUCAGGUUGGAGCCACGUGACUAUUUCCUGUGAGUGGAUGGUGAGCAGGGGCAGGAGCUGGCGGGGUUCCGGUGGCCCUCUCUUUUACUCAGAGGCCACUGUUCUGGAUGGCAAAAUAAUAAGAUAGAGAACAGUUUGAACCAUGCUGGAAUUCAUGUGCAUGAAGAAUAAAGUAUUAGGAUAAGCCAAGGAGAUUUCCUGAAUUAUCUGUUACUGCAACCGAGUCUGCUCCAUCCUGACUGAUAUGCUGACCAUUAAAGCUAAGGACUUUUUUUGGAAUAUGGUGAUUAGGUUAGUUAUCUUAUGAUAUCCUCAUAAGUAGAGCGUCUGGAUUUCAGCAUGGCCUGCAACAGGAUGUUGAUGGGUAAGUUGGUUCUUUUUCAGACAAUUUGGGGUCAUGGGUGUUAGGUGGUAAAACAGGUAUAUGGAUUCUAAGUUACUUGAAUAACCGUUUAUCCUAAAAGUGCUCACUGGCAAAUCAGCAUGAGCCUUAGGAGCAGACAUUAAGAGCAUAAUCUCUGCUCUGCAUCAUUCAACAGUUUAGUCAAUGGCCUGGAGAUAGUGAUCCCCUGCUUUUCAAGUUCCUGUGGGCGACAGAGAAGGAGGCACAGUGAGUGUCUUGACUAACAACUUAAGAACACAGAUAAGCUCUGGCAGGUCAGGACAAGGGGCUUAAUAUGACAGGAUGGAAGAAAAGCAUCACAUACGAGUGUGUGACACGUGGAUUUGAACUACAGAAUCGCAGGAGAGGAGGGAUAAGGUUCAAGAGCAUUUUGAAAGUAGCUGUAAGUAGAUCAUUAUUAUUAUUAUUAUUAUCAUUGAGAAUAACUGAAUAAGUCAGUAAGGUGGACCAGAGACCGACUAAGCGUCCUCUAGAGCUCUAAUAAUGUCUUAUUCACCAAUAAUCCCUCCACCUAAAGAUCUGUUUUAAAAGGCUGGGGAAGAGAUGGGAUGGAGAGAAAAAGGGAAAGAAUAGGUGGUCUGGGAUUUAGUUGAAAAGUCUCCAAAUCCUUUGGUAAGGUUGAACCUAGGUCCUUCAAAGUGGGCAGUGAAAGGAGAAUCUUCAUGAAGACAGAGGUGCUGGUUGUAAGAACAGCUAGGAAUUAAAUUCUGCAUUACUCUAAAUGGAGUAGCACGAAAAUAUACAGUGGUGGGAAACAAGACUGGAAGAUGAUUUGGGGUUGAAAGAUGGAGAGCCCUGAAUGCCACGCCUGAGAGUGUGAAUUUCAUGGACAGUAUUCGAGAGAGGGAAUGAUGUCAUUUGAUUUGGCUAUAUUUACUCUUCUUUCCAUUACCAAUACCCGGUCUCUCCUUUCUUUCUAUCUGGUUGGAGGAUACCUGUGAGGAGCAUGGUCAUUUGUCAAGUUUCAGAGACUAAAUACAUGCAUUGACUCAUUUAAUCCUCACAACAAUUAUGUGAGUAUCUGAUGCCGUGGUGAUGGACACGCCCCAUUCAGAAGAAAGGAUGCUCUUACAGUGGAGUUGAGCAUCAAGAGCCCAAGCACAGUUCCAGCUACAGCUUCAGUGAGUACGACAGGUGGCAUCAGGGAGGAGUGCCCUGGGUCCUGACCACAGCUUUUGGGACCUGCUCACCAUCAUGCAGCAACUCUACAAUCUGCCGACUGAGGUCACUAUCUGUUUUAGCCGUCAGACCUCGGGGGACCACUGCCAAAUGAAACCAGCUAGAACCACAGCCCCCAAACCCAGGACAGUCUGUCCAUGUUCCCCAUUCAUUUCUAAAGGUGAGAAAAAAGAGGUGAAGCUGUGAUGGGUGCUCAGUUCUGGUCCCUGGGUCUACUAUAUCAUCCUGACCAACAGGCCCUUUAGUAAAGAAGCGUUUUAAAUUUGACCAAGACCACAGAGACGUUCACCAACUCCAUUUCCUUUUCUGGGCACACAGGAGGCAUUUCUCAGCCUCCCCUGCAACCUGAGAGAUCUUUCUUGUUCUCUCUGCUUCCAUGGCUACGAGAAGGCCAGUGCUGAAGAUCUUGGUGUCACAAGAUGGAAGGAGCCUGGAUCCCUGAGUUACUCCUUGGAGGGGAGCAGCCAAGCAGAGUUGCCCACUUGGUCUGGACUGUGAUCCACAGAGGAAACAGACAACACCAGAAAUGAAGGCCCCAUGAAAGAUAACGGGUAAUCAACCUGGUAUAGGAGUUAGGAUGGAGUGUGGUUGGCGGAUGAUAGGACUCAGAAAUAAAAUCACUGAAAUGGAUUCCUGCUUUGAAUAAUACAGGGAAACGGACCCGGGCCCCGGCGGUGAGAGCACUGAAUCUUAACCACUGACCAAUAUGGCUGGCUUUAAAAACGUUUCCUAAGCACUUCUGAUGUGGGUAACCAAAACCUGAACAUAACCCACGCAGCCCCUCCAGGAAGAUCUCCAUCCACUAGGGGAAUCAGACACUGCUUUAAAUCAUUGUCGACACAAUAAAAUAUGGAUAUCAUACAGGCUACAAUUUGGCGUAUUUUAUUUUGCAAUUUAGAAGAAAUUCUUUUAAACAGAAGCCACCAGGAUGUUCACAGUUUACAACUGUAGGGAUCAGGUCCAGGACAUGAAGGAACAAUGGAGAAUGAAGCAGCGGGUCUCUCUGCUGGUGGUGGUGCUCCAUCAAUGAGCCAUUGGGAAGACAGGGAGAAGAUCAAAAAAGGGACUGAGAAAGAUAAGAGGAGAACGUCCAACCCUGGGGAAAGAUCAGUGUGUAUGAUGUAAGGAAGAAGGACAUUAGAAGAAGGAGUGUCCCAGGUUGUAGAAGAUGGCCAAAGAAGGUGAGACACCCUUAACCCAAAUGGUGAAAAUAGAAGGGGGAGAUACAGAUGAGGAAUGAAUAGGCCCAGGGACCCUGCUUAGACUGAAGCAAGCUAUCUUUAUAUCCCCACAGUAGCCUCAGGUUCAAAUGACAGUGGGCAAAAAGAUAAUUGACUUUCUCAUCAAUACAGGGGCUACCUACUUUGUUGUUAACACACAUUUAUCCCCCAACUCAAAAGAAGCUAUCUAUGGUUGUUACCAGGGUGUCAGUGAAGACAAUGACCCACCCCUUUUUACAACCCUUGGACUGUCAUCUUGGAAAUACAAACCUGAGACACAGUUACAUACACAGAUACAUGCCCUAAUGCCCUAUUCCUCUUCUGGGUCAGGAUUUGCUUGCCAGGCUAAAUGCCCAAAUUAUUUGUUCCCCAGGACACUUAGAAGUGGAGGUCCCUCCGAGCUUGCCUUCACCUCUCAGACGCUAUUGUUGCAGCUUGAUGAUGGAUCUCAACCUGAGAUACCUGAGGAAAUUCUUGAUAGGGUAAGAGAGGACAUCUAGGCAAGUGGGAGGUAGGGAUGGACCAAAACCAUGGUUCCUGUGAAGGAGCAUGAGAGCCUCAAUCUAAAACAAUACCCUCUGAAAGAAAAAGCACAGAGAGAGGUAAAGCCCUAUUGAAGGUUUUUCUGCAGCAGGGCUUGAUUCACCCACGUUCUCACCUUACCAUACUCUCAUCUUACCAGUGUUCAAGCCCAAGUCCAAUGAAUACCAGUUCCUUCAAGACCUUCGAGCUAUAAAUCAGAUGGCUCCAGAUGUGCACCCAGUGGUUCCCAAUCUGAACACUUUGCUGACUAUUUUGUCAGGAGACCCGUGCUGGUUCACGGUCUUGGGUUUGAAAGAUGCCUUUUUCUGCAUUUCCUGGGAUGAAAGUUCCCAAGAGGCCUUUCCCUUUGAGUGUCAAGGUCCCAAGACCAAUGUCAAACAGAAGUUUUGCUGGUCCGUUUUGCCUCAGGGUUUUAAAAAUCUGCCCACGAUAUUUGGGGAAAUAUUGGCUAGGGACCUAAGGGAACUUCAGCUGGUGGAAGGGGCUCUUACAAUAUGUGGACGACGUUCUCGUUGCUAAUAAAUCUAAGGAAGCUUCAGCUGAAAACACCACUUGAAUUUUAAAAUUUCUUAGCAGAUAGAGGUUACAAGGUUUCAAAGAAGAAGACCCAAAUUUGUGAAAAGACAGUUAAAUACUUAGGGUUUGAACUGCCAGAAGGACAGAGAAGCCUGCUCCCAGAUAGGAGGGAAGCAAUCCCUUAAGUAGUGACUCUCACCACCCGUUUACAGAUGUGGGGAUUUUUAGGGAUGGCAGGCUUCUGUUGAAUUUGGAUUCCCAACUCAGGAUUAACUGUAAAACCUCUGUAUGAGGCCUUAAAGGGAGGAGACCUCGAGCCUUUGGUGUGGACACAAGUGUGCCAGAAUGCAAUCAGGUUAAAGAAAAAUUGUUAACUGCCUCAGUCUUGGGACUCCAAGAUUUGAGAAAGCCCUUUGCUCUUUUUGUACAUGAGAAACAGAGCCUUAGUUUGGACGUCCUGACCCAGAACUUUGGACCCACUAGGAGGCCUGUGGCCAUUUUUCUAAGCAGUUGGUCAGAGGAUGGCCACCUUGCUUCUGAGCUGUUGUCCGCCACCAGUGACAUACUACAGGAAACUGAAAAGUUCACACUGGGGCAACCCACCAUGGUGCACACUCCCCGCUGUGUCCUCCCUUUUUAGAACAGAUGGAGGACAUUGACUAACCUCAAGAAGAUUAGGUAGGUAUGAGGCUAUUUUAUUAGACCACCCAGAGGUAAGUUAAAAGCUAUUUCUACCUUAAACCCUGCAACCUGCUACCUACUGAUGUCAAACAGCCCUCCUUUUAUGACUGUCUUCAGAUCAUUGAACAGGUAUUCUCUAGUUGACCUGAUUAGACUGACCAACCUUUGGAGUAGCCAGACUUGGAAUUGCUCACUGAUGGAAGCAGCUUCAUGGAUCAGGGGCAAUGUCAAGCAGUGUACAUAGUUGUCACCUUAUAGGACACCAUGGAAACAAAGGCCCUACCUCCAGGUAUCUCAGCUCAAAAGGCUAAACUUAUAGCACUAACUAGGGCUCUUCAAAUAGGUAAAGACAACAGAGUCAAUAUAUAUAUACAGAUUCAAAAUGUGCCUUUUUAGUGGUCCAUGCCCACAGGGCCAUAUGGAAAGAUGGGGGACUCUUGACUGCUGGAAAGAGGGACACAAAAUAUUGCCAGGAAAUGCUAACAUUCUUAGAGGCCGUUAAUGACCCCAUGGCAGUAACUAUCGUUCACUGCCCUGGACAUCAGAAAGGGGACACUUUGGAAGCCAGAGGCAAUCAACUGGCUGAUCAGGCAGCCAAGACUGCUGCUAGGACUAUGAGUUUCAAGGCACUCCUGGCUCCCUUAGUUCCCCAAAUUGACUGUAUUCCAACCUAGCUACCCCCAGAAAGAUUUAGGGAGAGCCAGAGAAGGGGGAUUUGGCUCCUCCUCUCUGGAGCAUCCUGGCUGGAAAUGUACCUUGGAAGUACUCAUCCUGGUACCUGAAGCCCUUCUGGGAGAAAUUGUUAAUCAAACCCAUCAGAGCACUCACUAUGGGAGGGAUGCCACCUUGCAGUGGAUCCAAAGGUAUUUAGUCGGUCUGAAAUUGUAACAGAUCAUUCAGAAAGUUACCCAACAAUAUGUUAUGUGUGGCAAAAAUAAUCCCAGGACGGGGCUGCCCUCUUUGAACAAGGGGGUUCAACAUUGAGGAGCAGCUCCCUGUGAGGACUGACAAGUUGACUUUAUUAUGAUGCCUCGAGCCUCUGGGAAUGUCAAGUAUCUCCUAGUAUUCAUAGAUACCUUUACAGGAUGGGUUGAAGCUUUUCCUUCCAGAACUGAGAGGGCUAAUGAAGUGACCAAAGCUUUGUUAAAGGAGAUCAUUCCCAGGUACGGAUUCCCACUGUUGAUCCAGAGUGACAACAGAGUCGCAUUUAUCUCCCUAAUAACCCAAGAAAUAUCAAAAGGCUUGGGGAUCACUUAGAAACUCCAUGCCUCAUGGCAGCCCCAGUCAAUGGGGAAGACUGAAAAGACGAACCACAAAGAAGACUAUUGCCAAAAUUUGUCAGGAAACUAACUUAAUCUGGGACAAGGCGUUGCCCUCUGCCCUGCUGAGCAUCUGGGUAGCUCCCUGAAGUAGGCUUUAAUUGAGCCCCUUCGAAGUGAUGUCUGGGAGACCAUUCUCAGCUUCACCAAUGGGGGGAGAUUUUAUACAACAGAAAGAAAUAGCAAUCAGGCAGCACUUAAAAUUUUUAAAUGGAAUCCUAACUUCUCUUCAUGAGUUUGCCUCUCACAGAUCCCUGUUCCUGUCAGAUGUCCCACCCUACCACAUCAAGGCAGGUGACCAUGUUCUCCUUAAGUCUGGGAAGGAGCAUGGACCAAAGGAUCAACUAACCCCCAAGUGGACUGGGCCUUAUGAAGUCCUCCUGACCACCCAUUCAUCAGUCAAAUUGGCCAGAGUCAAGCCGUGGAUUCAUCAUACCUGAGUGAGGCUCACCUCCACCACAACCAGAGCCACUGGUCUUAUGAGCCACUGAAAGACCUUAAGCUGCUAUUCUGGGUUAAGAUAGCUGAUACCAAGCCGUCAGAUAAAUAAAAUUAUUUGGGGUCUUGCAUUCUGAGUUCUGGAAAUUUGGGUUAUCAAAUAUGGAAUAAAGUGCUGUUCUAAGUUAAAAUCAAUCAAAUAAAGAUAAUGCAAAAUGCAAAAUAUA